rnacentral:sRNA from 1 species
UGGACGUGGUCACGCUCUCUUCUCCCUCC